rnacentral:rRNA from 1 species
CCUACGGGAGACUGCAGUGGGGGAUAUUGCACAAUGGGCGGAACCCUGAUGCAGCGACGCCGCGUGGGUGAAGGAGGGUUUCGGCGCGUAAAGCCCUUUCGGCAGGGAAGAAGAUGACGGUACCUGACCACGAAGCCCCGGCUAACGACGUGACAGCAGCCGCGGUAUUACGGCGGGGGCAAGCGUUAACCGGAUUUACUGGGGGUAAAGGGGGUGGAGACGGCAAUGCAAGCCAGGAGUGAAAGCCCGGGGCCCAACCCCGGGACAGCUCUUGGAACUGCAUGGCUGGAGUACAGGAGGGGCAGGCGGAAUUCCUAGUGUAGCGGUGAAAUGCGUAGAUAUGAGGAGGAACACCGGUGGCGAAGGCGGCCUGCUGGACUGUGACUGACGUUGAGGCCCGAAGGCGUGGGGAGCAAACAGGAUUAGAUACCCUAGUAGUC